rnacentral:rRNA from 1 species
AUUGAACGCUGCCGGCAGGCCUAACACAUGCAAGUCUAACGAGUGGCGGACGGGUGAGUAAUGUCUGGGAAACUGCCUGAUGGAGGGGGCUAACUACUGGAAACGGUAGCUAAUACCGCAUACCAUCGGAUGUGCCCAGAUGGGAUUAGCUAGUAGGUGGGGUAAAGGCUCACCUAGGCGACGAUCCCUAGCUGGUCUGAGAGGAUGACCAGACACACUGGAACUGAUACACGGUCCAGAGUCCGCCGUGAGGCAGCAGUGGGGAAUAGUGCACAAGGGGCGCAAGCCUGAUGCAGCCAUGCCGCGUGUAUGAAGAAGGCCUUCGGGUUGUAAAGUACUUUCAGCGGUGAGGCGUUAGCCGCAGAAGAAGCACCGGCUAACUCCGUGCCAGCCGCCGCGGUAAUUC